AGGGAGCUUGCUCCCGGAUGUUAGCGGCGGACGGGUGAGUAACACGUGGGUAACCUGCCUGUAAGACUGGGAUAACUCCGGGAAACCGGAGCUAAUACCGGAUAGUUCCUUGAACCGCAUGGUUCAAGGAUGAAAGACGGUUUCGGCUGUCACUUACAGAUGGACCCGCGGCGCAUUAGCUAGUUGGUGGGGUAAUGGCUCACCAAGGCGACGAUGCGUAGCCGACCUGAGAGGGUGAUCGGCCACACUGGGACUGAGACACGGCCCAGACUCCUACGGGAGGCAGCAGUAGGGAAUCUUCCGCAAUGGACGAAAGUCUGACGGAGCAACGCCGCGUGAGUGAUGAAGGUUUUCGGAUCGUAAAGCUCUGUUGUUAGGGAAGAACAAGUGCGAGAGUAACUGCUCGCACCUUGACGGUACCUAACCAGAAAGCCACGGCUAACUACGUGCCAGCAGCCGCGGUAAUACGUAGGUGGCAAGCGUUGUCCGGAAUUAUUGGGCGUAAAGGGCUCGCAGGCGGUUUCUUAAGUCUGAUGUGAAAGCCCCCGGCUCAACCGGGGAGGGUCAUUGGAAACUGGGAAACUUGAGUGCAGAAGAGGAGAGUGGAAUUCCACGUGUAGCGGUGAAAUGCGUAGAGAUGUGGAGGAACACCAGUGGCG
rnacentral:rRNA from 1 species